UUUAGGAUUUUUGAUUUUAGU
rnacentral:piRNA from 1 species